CCACAAAAAGAAUUAUCCGGAGCAAUGCGUCAGUAUUGCCAAAGUUGAGAAACCCUAGGCUAGGCGUUGAGUUGCUAACUGUACCAAAAGAGGUGACACGCAGGCAAUUCAAGGACAGUAAUAUCAUCCCGCAUGUUUCCCCCAGCUUCCAGGCCGUUAUUCACCAUUGCGGCCAAGGUGCAGCUACCGCACGGUGACUUCCUACACCCUGGCAGCCACUUAUUCCCACGUGGCUCUGCCCUGGACGGGCAAGAGCAGCGCCAGGAGUGGGGCUGCAGUUUCUUCCUCCUCACGGACCCAGCGGACUGAGCUCCUGACGCGAGUUCGGGCGUUUUAGAGCCUGGAGCUUGCUCUCAGGGAGACCUCGCCGUCAACCUCUUGUCCCUCUGAACUAGUCAGGGGCGCCGCUGAGCAUACGUCAGACAUUCAGGGGGCCAAGAUUUGAGUGGGAUCGUCCUGCGUUGUAGUGAAGGAGAAGCAGAAGGUCUGGGGCAGGGGAACCAGCCUGACUGAGAGAGGAGCCCAGCGCGGGAGGAAGGGAGGCAGGGGGCAGAUCCCGGGACAGGGGACGGGGACGGAGGCAGCUGCUGGCGCAAAAUGACCCUCGGAGAAACGUCCUUGAGGACACAUGCCUGCCCCACUCAAACUACCCCCAGAAAUUCCAAACUCCUUUGAAAGGAGUGGAAAUUAAAAUGGGUUGAAAGGAGCCAGGGUAGGACCUGAAAAAGAGCUUGUUGGUGGAGAGCCCGUGGAUGGGGAAGUCAUUCUGGGCGGUGACAUCACAGGGAGACCGCCCUGUGGGGCUGUGGUGAGCUGCACCCGCUCUUCUUCCCACUGAAGGCCACCCCGACUCCUCAUGGGCUCCAGGCUCGUCUGCUGUGUGGCGCUCUGCCUCCUGGGAGCAGACCUCUUGGACACAGUGGUUUUCCAGACUCCAAAAUACCUCAUUACACAGGUAGGAAGUAAGAAGUUCCUAACAUGUGAACAAAAGCUGAGCCAUGAUACCAUGUACUGGUUUAAGCAAGACUCCAAGCAACCCCUGAAGACUAUGUUUAUCUAUAAUAACAAGGAGCUCAUUCUAAAUGACACAGUUCCAAGUCGUUUCUCACCGGAAUCUCCUGACAGAGCUCAUUUAAACCUUCAUGUCAGCUCCCUGGAGGCAGGUGACUCUGCCAUGUAUCUGUGUGCCAGCAGUCAAGACACAGCCUUGCAGAGUCACCGUCUGCCUGUGCACAAACCCCACGGCCCAGCCAGGAAACUGUGGGCACCCUGUUCACCCGAGCCUGGGGCCCCAUUCACCCCUGUGACACCCCUGACUGGACUUUCAGUCUGUAGUACAGGCUCCCAGCAUACCAGAGGUAGUAAUUCUACAUUUUAUGCCCAAAGAAGCCUCACAGAAUUCUGCUUCCUAGCUGGAGCAGGGCUUUCCAACAAAUUCAGGAUUCCAUCAACAAGAAAGGGCCUGGUCCCAUAACCUGAAGAUCUCAACUGGCAGAAG